UACGGGGGGGGCAAGCGUUGUUCGGAAUUACUGGGCGUAAAGGGCGCGUAGGCGGCCUGCUAAGUCGGACGUGAAACCCCUCGGCUCAACCGGGGAACUGCGUCCGAUACUGGUGGGCUCGAAUCCGGGAGAGGGAUGUGGAAUUCCAGGUGUAGCGGUGAAAUGCGUAGAUAUCUGGAGGAACACCGGUGGCGAAGGCGGCGUCCUGGACCAACACUGACACUGAGGAGCGAAAGCCGGGGGAGCAAACGGG
rnacentral:rRNA from 1 species